AUGUUGUUCUCAAUUACUCGAUAAGUCGAGAUGAAGUAUGAUUGAAGUUUCGAGGACGAAACUCUUUUAAGGAGGGGAGAAUGUAAUGUCCCAGAUUAUAAUAUAAAAUUAAGUGUAAAUAAAAAUAGUGUGAGAUACUAUUUUUAUUGGACUUAAGGAAAUAAAAUGUAAAUCUGGAAUGACUCAUGCUGAAAUCGGAAUGAAAAAAGGAGAUUUAGAAUUUUCUGUGAGAAACAGGACUGAUAUUUUUAGCAGAAAAUGCACAGUGUCAGAAAAUUAUGAAAAUCUGGAUAUAUGUCAGGAUUAUUUUUAUGAGGCUAGAUUAAAAGUUUCAUGUCAUUCUGACACCCGAAAAGUGAAAAAUAAAAUCCGACUGCUAUGUGCUAGAGAUUACAGUUCGGUAGAACUUUCGGUGACCAAAAAUGGUUGAAACUGGAAAGUUAAAAUAUUUUCUUGUUUAUUAAGAGAAACCAAGCCUGACUGUCAAAUUUGAGCGAAAACGGAUAUUCAGAAGGGCCGGCGAAAAGUAUUUGAUUCUGAGCUGUUAAACUGCUAGUGUGAAUAGUGUUUUGAGGGUUUUAAUUAUAAAAGAAGCAAUUGUCUUCUUCUUCUCCUUCAACCGAGCAACCCACAGCCACAACACACACACACGUAUGGAGAGGGAGAGAGAAACCCUCCCUUUCUCUCUCUAAAUAUCUCUCUCAUCUCUCUAAAUCUCUUCUUCAAACUCGCGGCGUU
rnacentral:lncRNA from 1 species